rnacentral:rRNA from 1 species
AUUGAACGCUGGCGGCAGGCCUAACACAUGCAAGUCGAACGAGCGGCGGACGGGUGAGUAAUGUCUGGGAAACUGCCUGAUGGAGGGGGAUAACUACUGGAAACGGUAGCUAAUACCGCAUACCAUCGGAUGUGCCCAGAUGGGAUUAGCUUGUAGGUGGGGUAAAGGCUCACCAAGGCGACGAUCCCUAGCUGGUCUGAGAGGAUGACCAGCCAAACGGGAACUGAGACACGGUCCGAACUCCAACGGGAGGCAGCAGUGGGGAAUAUUGCACAAUGGGCGCAAGCCUGAUGCAGCAAUGCCGCGUGUAUGAAGAAGGCCUUCGGGUUGUAAAGUACUUUCAGCGGGGAGGCGUUACCCGCAGAAGAAGCACCGGCUAACUCCGUGCCAGCAGCCGCGGUAAUAC